CGCGUAGGCGGUGAGAUGCGUCCGUUGUGAAAUCGCUCGGCUCAACUGGGCGGGGUCAGCGGAUACGGUCUCACUUGAGCAAGCUAGGGGGCAAUGGAAUUCCCGGUGUAGUGGUGGAAUGCGUAGAUAUCGGGAGGAACACCAGUGGCGAAGGCGGUUGCCUGGGGCUUUGCUGACGCUGAGGCGCGAAAGCGUGGGAGCGAUCC
rnacentral:rRNA from 1 species